GGAUUUUCCUUUGUCAUGUGGUUGAGAUUAUGUAAGGGACACAGAGGAAACAGACAUACCCUACCGUCCACGAGCCCAUAGCCUCAUCAGGAAGGCCCCCCCAGCCAUGAAGCUUCUUCAGCGUGAGGAGCACAGCCUCACUGCCACCAGCCUUCCCCACCUUCCUCCGAGAGGGAUUCAAGGAAAAGCCACCUCUGGCCUCCACCAUCACCUGCUGGCCCUGAGACCUUCAAGGAAAAGCCCUCCUCCUUGUCCACCAGGGCUCACCUGGGCAGCCUGUUCUCCCCACGGCCCUGCCUUACAGACCACCCUGAGUGCCCAGAAUGGGCAACCAGCUGUCUUCACUACCCCAGUCUAUACUCCUCUGGAGGGUAUCCUGAAUCACUGCAACUGUUUUGACGCUGAGACUCUGAAUGGGGGAAAAGAUGGCUUAUAGUCUUCUGCACAAAGGGUAAUCCAUACCUUUCCUGACAGUGUACGAUGGAUCCAGCCUCCUGUUUGCCACUUCGGGACAGGCUGCAAGGGGAAAUUCCAGGGAACUGAAGAAAUAAACCCCAGAGGCCCCUCCA
rnacentral:lncRNA from 13 species